GGCGUUAUAGUGUAGUGGUUAUCACAGCGGAUUCUGAUGGACCGGACUCGAACCGGUUGAUUACGUAAUUCCGCUAACUCCGGUUCGAGUCCGGAUAAUGCCU